ACCAGGAAGUGAUAUGUAAGGUAGGGUCUUGGGUGGGACUGACCACAGUGAAGUGUGAUCAACCAGGGAAGUGAUAUGUAAAGUAGGGUCUUGGGUGGGACUGACCACAGUGAGGUGUCCGAAUCCAUUCGAAUCCCAUCCGAAUGGAGCUACCAUUCUACACAGACGUUUCUACAAUGCAAACAAACCCAACUAAAACACUGAGACAAGUUUACACGCUGUUUAUUAAAGCAUCUUUGUAGCAAUAUGCAUAUAUAAGAAGGGAAUGAGGCGACAAUAAUAUAUCAUUACAACAUAAAACACAGCUGUAAGAAUACAAUUCUGAUUGGAAAAUA